rnacentral:lncRNA from 1 species
CACAAGGCUGUUUCCUGCACUGGUCAGGGAUGAGGUCCUGGAGUCCAGUGCAGGGGAAGUGUGCUAUGGGGAAGGGCUGUAGGUGGUAGGGACAGUCUUGCUGCUCCCUCCUGGGGCACCCUCACUGGUCCCUGCCGAUGCCACCUCCUACCUGUCCCCCAUGUACCUCUCCUCUGUGUUUUCCUCUGGUCCAGGCACAAACUCUUCUCAGUGUGCCACAGCAGGCUUGAAUGGGUCCAAGGAACAUGUUCUUGAAACAAAGGAAAAAACAGGCCAGAAACACUAACUCAGGGGUUGCGGUCAGGUUUAAAUGAGCUUAUGCACUGGGAUCAUUGAGUACAGUUCCUGGCACCGAGUUGGUUCUGCAAUCACUGUUUUCUAUGGGUCCCUUCUGUGGGCUAAGCCUGUGAGAGAUGUGGCUGUGCCUGCCUGGCAAACCAUUGGCCUCUGUUUGCCACACAGAGCCAGGCACACAGCAGGUGCUCAGGAGGACACGUUGUUAGUCUACGAGUCUCUCCUUACCAGUAACUUACUCAGCACAAAGGGAGAAAUAGUGAUUUCACAGUGGAGAGGCCAAGCAG